UCAGACGAACGCUGGCGGCGUGCUUAACACAUGCAAGUCGAACGAUGAACCUGGAGCUUGCUCUGGGGGAUUAGUGGCGAACGGGUGAGUAACACGUGAGUAACCUGCCCUUGACUCUGGGAUAACCUCCGGAAACGGAAGCUAAUACCGGAUAUGACGCACGGAGGCAUCUCCUGUGCGUGGAAAGAAUUUCGGUCAAGGAUGGACUCGCGGCCUAUCAGGUAGUUGGUGAGGUAACGGCUCACCAAGCCUACGACGGGUAGCCGGCCUGAGAGGGUGACCGGCCACACUGGGACUGAGACACGGCCCAGACUCCUACGGGAGGCAGCAGUGGGGAAUAUUGCACAAUGGGCGCAAGCCUGAUGCAGCAACGCCGCGUGAGGGACGACGGCCUUCGGGUUGUAAACCUCUUUUAGUAGGGAAGAAGCGAAAGUGACGGUACCUGCA
rnacentral:rRNA from 1 species